rnacentral:rRNA from 2 species
GCCAGACAAACUACAGCGAAAGCAUUUGCCAAGAAUGUUUUCAUUGAUCAGGAGCGAAAGUCAGAGUUUCGAAGACGAUCAGAUACCGUCCUAGUUCUGACCAUAAACGAUGCCAACUGACGAUCCGCGGCGGUUCUUUAAUUGGCCCCGCGGGCAGUCCCCGGGAAACCCUUAAGUCUUUGGGCUCCGGGGGAAGUAUGGUUGCAAAGCUGAAACUUAAAGGAAUUGACGGAAGGGCACCACCAGGAGUGGAGCCUGCGGCUUAAUUCGACUCAACACGGGAAAACUCACCCGGCCCGGACACUGUGAGGAUUGACAGAUUGAUAGCUCUUUCUUGAUUCGGUGGUUGGUGGUGCAUGGCCGUUCUUAGUUGGUGGAGCGAUUUGUCUGGUUAAUUCCGAUAACGAACGAGACUUUGACCUACUAAUUAGUUUGCCUAUCCUCUGUGCUCGUGCAGGGCUCGGUUUCAGUUGCCUCCUUGAGGGGUGGUGGAGCCGUUGACCGGCGGGUACGGCGUGGUGCUUACUUCUUAGAGGGACAAGCGGCAAAACAAGUCGCACGAAAUUGAGCAAUAACAGGUCUGUGAUGCCCUUAGAUGUCCGGGGCCGCACGUGCGCUACAAUGACGGUGCCAGCGAGCAUGGAAACCUGGCCCGAAAGGGUUGGGCAAACUUUUCAUCACCGUCGUGACUGGGAUCGGGGCUUGCAAUUAUUCCCCGUGAACGAGGAAUUCCUAGUAAGUGCAAGUCAUAAGCUUGCGCUGAUUACGUCCCUGCCCUUUGUACACACCGCCCGUCGCUACUACCGAUUGAAUGGUCAAGCUGAGGUAUCGGAUUGGUGCUGUUUUAGCGGCUCUGUCGCUUGACUGGUAUCGAGAAGAUGACCAA